rnacentral:piRNA from 1 species
UUCAUGGUCGCUCAAGGGACAGGAAGGGC